GGGCUCGAGAUUAUAAAAAACAAUUAACUCAAUUCUCUCCCAUUUAUGAUCUCGAAGCCC
rnacentral:sRNA from 1 species